rnacentral:rRNA from 1 species
GCCGGAGGGAAACCGAGUCUUAAUUGGGCGUUAAGUUGCAGGGUAUAGACCCGAAACCCGGUGAUCUAGCCAUGGGCAGGUUGAAGGUUGGGUAACACUAACUGGAGGACCGAACCGACUAAUGUUGAAAAAUUAGCGGAUGACCUGUGGCUGGGGGUGAAAGGCCAAUCAAACCGGGAGAUAGCUGGUUCUCCCCGAAAGCUAUUUAGGUAGCGCCUCGUGAAUUCAUCUCCGGGGGUAGAGCACUGUUUCGGCUAGGGGGCCAUCCCGGCUUACCAACCCGAUGCAAACUGCGAAUACCGGAGAAUGUUAUCACGGGAGACACACGGCGGGUGCUAACGUCCGUCGUGAAGAGGGAAACAACCCAGACCGCCAGCUAAGGUCCCAAAGUCAUGGUUAAGUGGGAAACGAUGUGGGAAGGCCCAGACAGCCAGGAUGUUGGCUUAGAAGCAGCCAUCAUUUAAAGAAAGCGUAAUAGCUCACUGGUCGAGUCGGCCUGCGCGGAAGAUGUAACGGGGCUAAACCAUGCACCGAAGCUGCGGCAGCGACACUGUGUGUUGUUGGGUAGGGGAGCGUUCUGUAAGCCUGUGAAGGUGUGUCGUGAGGCAUGCUGGAGGUAUCAGAAGUGCGAAUGCUGACAUAAGUAACGAUAAAGCGGGUGAAAAGCCCGCUCGCCGGAAGACCAAGGGUUCCUGUCCAACGUUAAUCGGGGCAGGGUGAGUCGACCCCUAAGGCGAGGCCGAAAGGCGUAGUCGAUGGGAAACGGGUUAAUAUUCCCGUACUUGGUGUUACUGCGAAGGGGGGACGGAGAAGGCUAUGUUGGCCGGGCGACGGUUGUCCCGGUUUAAGCGUGUAGGUGUGUGUUCCAGGUAAAUCCGGUUCACUUUAACACUGAGGCGUGACGACGAGGCACUACGGUGCUGAAGCAACAAAUGCCCUGCUUCCAGGAAAAGCCUCUAAGCAUCAGGUAACAUCAAAUCGUACCCCAAACCGACACAGGUGGUCAGGUAGAGAAUACCAAGGCGCUUGAGAGAACUCGGGUGAAGGAACUAGGCAAAAUGGUGCCGUAACUUCGGGAGAAGGCACGCUGACACGUAGGUGAAGUGAUUUACUCAUGGAGCUGAAGUCAGUCGAAGAUACCAGCUGGCUGCAACUGUUUAUUAAAAACACAGCACUGUGCAAACACGAAAGUGGACGUAUACGGUGUGACGCCUGCCCGGUGCCGGAAGGUUAAUUGAUGGGGUCAGCGCAAGCGAAGCUCCUGAUCGAAGCCCCGGUAAACGGCGGCCGUAACUAUAACGGUCCUAAGGUAGCGAAAUUCCUUGUCGGGUAAGUUCCGACCUGCACGAAUGGCGUAAUGAUGGCCAGGCUGUCUCCACCCGAGACUCAGUGAAAUUGAACUCGCUGUGAAGAUGCAGUGUACCCGCGGCAAGACGGAAAGACCCCGUGAACCUUUACUAUAGCUUGACACUGAACAUUGAGCCUUGAUGUGUAGGAUAGGUGGGAGGCUUUG